rnacentral:lncRNA from 1 species
GUUUCCUUCUAAAAGCUUCACUUUCUCUAGCACCACAGAAAUGAGCUGACUUGCCAGCUAGAUGGAACAAAUCAAGAGGCCAUGAGAAGUAGAGAACUGAAGCACAGCUGAGUCUUCCAACCAUUGCUGCUGAGGAACCACGUAUAUGAUCCAGCCAAGUUGGAUGAUAGAAGCUACCAUUUGGCAGAGAUGGAGUCAGUUAAGAGAGCAGCAAGAAUACUGGAAAGGCAUUGACAUACCAAGGGUGGAAGGAACAAGGGGAGAUAACAGCAUACAAAAGUCCCUGAGAAUUGAAGCAGUGGAAACAAAGCAGUCUGGUGAAAAUUUAGUUCUUAGGGAUAUAACUGCUUUUUCAAAAGCCACCAAGACAGGUACGUUGAGAUUUUUUUUUCACCUCUCCUAAGUAGAGUCAAAUUUCA